AGCUACUGUUGACUUGUUAUGUGUCAUGUACAUCUAAACACAGGCUCUUGAAGCUACUUUGGAGCAGACUGUGCAAGAUGAGGGACUUGGAACAGUUGAUGAGCAGCAGGAGCACCGAGCACGUAUCUUGUCAAGCAAGAUGAGUAUAUGAAGAAAAUCCGAGAUUUAGGCUCAAUUGCCUGCUGAUGCUAAACUGGCUAACUAAGCCGCACAAUACCUUUUUUUAUAGUGUUAACCAUGCUGUAGUUAUUUUCUGGCCAAUAAUAAAGGUACAAGAGAAAGAACAAGCAGCAGCUGCUUUAUGACUGCACUGAGCAUUUGAAGUAAUUAGUCCUUCCUGAACUUCACUGAACAGCGGAGAAGACGCGCUGAACUUGAUGCUGAUGACGAGAAAUUAGAGAGUUGAUAUGAGUUUUAGACCAAGGGAAGGAUGAAUCAAUUGAACACACAUUUAAAGGAGUUGCAAGGCACUUCCGUGAAGUGUUCUCUUAAUUAGUGCAAGGUGUCCGCGGAUACUUGGUUAUGAUGAAGAAAAAGGAUGGUGAUGCUGGCGAUGAUGACAUGGAUGAGGACGCGCCUCGUGAACCAGAUCCUGAAGGGAGUAUAGAGAAGUAUAUUGGUGCGAAAGUCAAGGCAUGUGUUCUUUGCAGAUAUCUGUUAUGUAUUCAUGCACAUAUUAUUCGAAAUCUAUCAUAGAAAUUUAGAUGAUACUAUUUCCCAAGCUGUCCUGUCAAAAAAAAACUAUUCCCCAGUUAGUAAGCUCUUCCCGAAUCACUAUGGUGAUGACACCCUGUUUGUUUUUUCCUCAAAUUUGUUAAAGGCUGUGUGUUUGGAGACUCAUGCUUAGUCAUGUUUCAGGUUUCCUUCACUGGCAAGGGAGAAACUCUGUUCUGUCUGCCUCAUCAAUAAAAAUGGGGCGGGGGGGAAACCCCUAUCUUUCAAAAAAAAAGAAAGGCAGUGGUGGCAUUAACACUGAUCUUCACUAUCCAACGAUGUGAUCCAGCUCCGUUCUACCUGUUUAUCCUCGCCAUAGAAGAGCCUUCAUAUGCCUGUUUUUUGAAACGAACAUCUCCUGGUCUAGUGUCUGUCUAGCUGGGUAUGCCCAACUAUGCCCUCCUGUGUUCAUUGAGCUGAAUCACAUGGUAUACAGCUGCUGCUGGGAACAUCCAUCCGAAUAUUUGCCGCUGCUUUCGGCAAGUCCUGUUGUGGGCGUGGUCAGGCGUCUGGCCGACCUGGUGGACACGCAGUUCAUAGCCACCACAUUGAGGCCAGAGAUCCUCAAGGUGGCGGACAAGAUCUACGGAACAGGGUGAGCUAUAUCAACGUGGCGUCCAAGGAGCAGAGCAGGCCAUGGACUUUGUCGAGCAUGACCAGACGCACAACGCCAGCUGAGGCCGACAGAAGCUCUGCCCAGACCGUGCGUGUUGUUCAUCUUAACAUUUUCAGUUAAAUCUUGGCAGCCCUUAUCAUACGCACGACUAUCUUUGUUUCCCGCGGAAAGAUGCUAGCACAGGAAGGCGUGUGUGUUGGCAUUCCUCUACUCCUGGACAUUGUAGGCCACUAGCUGUGUAUAUGUAGUUAGCCUUUGGACUGGUAACCUGUUUGAGUAUGCUUAGGAGUCGUUGGAUUGGUAAAAUUUGUUUAAGUAUGCUUUGGGAACAUGAGCGUGAUUGGAAACGCACGUUUUUAGAUUCAUCUAUUUGUACCGCACUGCUGCAAAAUUUGGCCCAUCUGGAGCCUGCUGAUAACCCGAGAAAUAAGAGUUAUGUUCUU